CACUGGAUCAUUCAAAGACAAAUACCAAAACUAAUCAAAAUAACUAAUUUGACUGUAGGAAUGUCUGUCCACUGCUUUGCUUAAUAAGAUAAGCUAUUAGGAUUACUAGCAAUAUAUCGAUUCAAGGCAUCCAAACAGGAAAUUAAGUAUGGUCUGUAUACUCGACAAAUUUACAGUUUGGCUUCCUAAAUGGAAGCUAACCUCUCCUCAGCACCACCAUGACGAUAACCAUCAAUGCCAAUGCCAUGAAAGAAGCUCUCAAGGUGUUAUCAGAAAAAGAUGAUCGAGAAUUUCCAUCUGCAGCUCCAGAAAUGUUCUCAGCAGCAGAAAACCCAAAAAUGUGAUGAACAAAAGAAGAGACGUUAUUCAUCAUCUCAACCACAGUGUGCUUGAUGUUCUCAAAUCUAUACUUAUAUCCGUUCUCAAACUUUCCGGCUUCUCUUGCAUCAUCAGAUAAUUUAGUAAACUCCCUUGGAGAGCCCAAAUCCUGUGACUCAUCAUCUGCAUCAGAUUCUGUUGAAUUCAAAUAGAUAUUGGGUAAAUCAGAGUCCAUCAAACAUGAAAAAUCAACUAAGAGAUGCAUUUAGUGGUUGAAAGAGGAAGAGAAGCUAUUUUUACUGGUCUUCUGUGACUGGAGGAAUUCCAGAAGAGCCUCAUUCUUCAUCACAGCAUCCCAGACAUUUGGAUCCGCAGCAAUGGAAGCAACAACAGACUGGGUACAAAAGAAGAUCAGUAAUCAUAGCCCCAUAUAUGGAUUAUAUCACUUGAUAAUAUUUAAUGUAUCUGCAUCCCAUAGUAUCAUGCACAGGUUUUACUUUAGGAGAGACCUCAAUUCCCUCAAGAAUAUAAACCAAGAGACUGAAACACAUCAGAGUAGAAGUUGCAUCCUCUCCAUGAUCUGAUUGGAACAAGAAUUUGUUCCCCCACAAAAAAGUUGGAUUCUUUGAGAUGAAUGGACAGCUACAUGCUUUCAAGUGACAAAAGUACAAAACUAACCAAUAUUAACAACAAAUAAAUAAUUUUUUAAAAAAAUGAUAGGUAAUUUUUAACUGCCAAUGAUCCAAUAUCAGGGAUGUUAAAUCCUAGGAUAGGAGGCACAAAAUCAGAGAGUUAAAAAAGGUCAAUAUCAAGCUUAUCUAUAACAGUAUCAGGUGAAAAAUUCCCAACACAAAAACACGUCAAUGAAAUUAGAUUCCCUACAACUACAAGCACAACAGAAAGAUUAAUAAUUAUCAUAAACUAACUAAUCAUAAAAAAAAAAAAUAGAUCUAUUAUAUUAUGAUAUGAUAUACACCAAAAUCAGGAAGGAAACAGCUGCACAAAGGGAAGAAAUAUUUGUGAGAACCUGUGCUGCAGGACUUUCAUUGAGCAAUGCGAAUGCCUUUAUUGCAUAGCUUGAUGCAGAAUUUGAUCUAGGCUCACAAGUGAUGCAGCUUUUGUUCUCCAAAUAGUCUGAGUUUGUAAGCAAAGUUAGGCCAGACAGCUGACCACCUCCAAAUGAACCUCCAGAUCCCGGGCGAGGAGAAGAUGAUGUAUACACUUUCUCUAGAGCAUCCUUCAACUCAUUAGUGGCCGAUUUCGCCUCCUGCAGGCUCGGAGCAGGCCCGAACACAACUCUUGGAAUGGGGUCGUUAGAUUCGAGCAACAGCUCCUCCUCUCCACCAGCAAACUCCCAAUCGUCAAUCUGCAACGCUGGACGCUGAACUCCGGCGAUUUCCACGCCACCGGUAGCCCCAGUCUGACAGGACGAGAGGAUCGCCGACACGGGACGUGAGGCGUUGCGCACCGACUGUUCAGCCGGAGACGAGACAGCAGAAAACCCUCCCCGUAAGCCGCUAUUGACGACGCCGAUGCCGGCCAUCUUACCGGCAGCUCUCAUGGCAGCUCCUCCACCCAUAGCGAUGAUUACGGUGAUCAAGGGAGAAAAGGAAAGGCCGAAUCAAAAUUAUCUUGGGGAAGCGCCUUAAUUACUCUCCGUUUGGACUUUGGAGAAUAAGCAUACGUGUGACUUGGCAAUAUUCUGUAGGAAGAGUUCUGAGAUUUAAGUAUUAAUUAAUUUAACGGUGAUUAUAUGUUACUUUGCUAAGCGACCCAACUCUUCCUGUGAUCGCUUAAUCUAGAAGAAAACUGCAUAAUUUAUUCGGUGUGGAAGAGACGCU
rnacentral:misc_RNA from 1 species